CAGCAGCAGAAAUGAGCCACACAGGAACAGACUGUUGUUCACAAUCUGCAAGACGUUAUGGAGGUCAGAGCCCUCUGCAUCAAACUCAUAAUGAGUGUGAUGAUCCCAUUUUGUGCACAUGAUCAGAGAGUUGGUGCAGUUUUUCUUCGUGUUGUUCCAAACAGAUCACAGUUCUUUGAAUAUGAGCCAGUAACUUUUUACUGUGAGGGCGUCUCUCAUUAUAAUAUU